rnacentral:rRNA from 1 species
AUGACGGUGUUGGUUUUCCAUCACUUUCUCCUUGGAGACGUCAUUUGUGGAGUUCUUGCGGAGGGCUGUCACUGUUGGGCUGGCUAUAGGGGGAGGUUGGGUUCGUGGGUGGACGGCGGGGGCAUGUGUUCUGUUGUUGGUGGUGGUGGUGGUGGAAGUGCUUUGUUGAUUCGGGACAUGCUAAGUUCUGGUUCCCUCUCUAGCUCUGGUUGGCCUCCUCUCAGGGAUGUUCAUGGCGGCGGUGAGGUCUCGGGGUUCGACGUCCUUCGAAGAUGUUGCAGGCUCUUGUUGCUUUGCAUGGUGCCCAGGUUGGCUCAUUUGGUGAAGGUGGUCGAUGUGACACCAAGAGGAGGUGCAGUGCUCGUCUCGGUGGAACAUUGCCCUUCGGUGGCAUCAGCGACUUUCGUUCUCGCGAUGUCACCUCGGUGA